ensembl:antisense 0610031O16Rik RIKEN cDNA 0610031O16 gene
GUUAGUCUCAUACAGAGCGUGAAGGAGUGAGCUCGCCAAGCACAACCAGCAGGGAUGAAAGGCUAAGUCAGUGAACAACAGAAAGACAGACAGACUUCUGAACAGACACACCGACCAGCAGAAACCACUGGGGAAAGCAACAGUCAGCCAGUGUGACUGACUUAGAGUCCCAAACAGCUGUCUUCUUCUGGGGACAACAAAGAGAGGUGGCUCAACAUGCAAGCAUGGGAACUAGAGUCUCAAAACUUCGAGAAUCCACCUAAACCUGAGUGUGGUGGUGCAUGGCUCUAAUCCCUGUUUACAGGAUUCAAGAAUGGAAUAAGUUUUGCUAAGACUGCCACAUGUACAAGGAAAACUAUGGACCCCAGGUUGCCUCCCUGCCCUCUAGUCACAUGAGAAUGGCGUGAUAUGAUACUUACAGGAUCAGGUAAAACUGAUCUAAAGAUUGUGACUUUUUAGGUAAAACUGCUGUUAUGUUUUUCAUUGUAUUUUUAUGCAUUUAUUUGUAUAUGGGCAUGACAACGGCUGAGUGCUCGCUAUGGUGCAUACAUGGAGAUCAGAAGACAAACUGGUAGGAGUUGGUUCUUUCCUUCUGCAUGUGAGUCUUGGGAAGCAAGCUCAGGUCAUCAGGCUUGGAGACAAGUCCCUCUACUCACCGAGCCAUCUCAGCAGCCCUGUGGUUUUUGGCCUGAGUU